UACGGAGGGGGCUAGCGUUGUUCGGAAUUACUGGGCGUAAAGCGCACGUAGGCGGCUUUGUAAGUUAGAGGUGAAAGCCCAGGGCUUAACCCUGGAAUUGCCUUUAAGACUGCAUCGCUAGAAUCGUGGAGAGGUGAGUGGAAUUCCGAGUGUAGAGGUGAAAUUCGUAGAUAUUCGGAAGAACACCAGUGGCGAAGGACGA
rnacentral:rRNA from 1 species